AUUGAACGCUGGCGGCAGGCUUAACACAUGCAAGUCGAGCGGGGUGAUGGUGCUUGCACUAUCACUUAGCGGCGGACGGGUGAGUAAUGCUUAGGAAUCUGCCUAUUAGUGGGGGACAACAUCUCGAAAGGGAUGCUAAUACCGCAUACGUCCUACGGGAGAAAGCAGGGGAUCUUCGGACCUUGCGCUAAUAGAUGAGCCUAAGUCGGAUUAGCUAGUUGGUGGGGUAAAGGCCUACCAAGGCGACGAUCUGUAGCGGGUCUGAGAGGAUGAUCCGCCACACUGGGACUGAGACACGGCCCAGACUCCUACGGGAGGUAGCAGUGGGGAAUAUUGGACAAUGGGGGGAACCCUGAUCCAGCCAUGCCGCGUGUGUGAAGAAGGCCUUAUGGUUGUAAAGCACUUUAAGCGAGGAGGAGGCUCUUUUGGUUAAUACCCAAGAUGAGUGGACGUUACUCGCAGAAUAAGCACCGGCUAACUCUGUGCCAGCCGCCGCCGUAA
rnacentral:rRNA from 1 species